rnacentral:rRNA from 1 species
GACGAACGCUGGCGGCGUGCUUAACACAUGCAAGUCGAACGGGAUUUAGUAAACGGAAGCCUCGGUGGAAGAUUACUAAUGAGAGUGGCGAACGGGUGGGUAACGCGUGAGCAACCUGCCUAUGACAGUGGGAUAGCCUCGGGAAACCGGGAUUAAUACCGCAUAAAAUCGUAGAAACACAUGUUUCAACGGUCAAAGAUUUAUCGGUCAUAGAUGGGCUCGCGUCUGAUUAGCUAGUUGGUGAGAUAACAGCCCACCAAGGCGACGAUCAGUAGCCGGUCUGAGAGGAUGAACGGCCACAUUGGAACUGAGACACGGUCCAAACUCCUACGGGAGGCAGCAGUGGGGAAUAUUGCACAAUGGGGGAAACCCUGAUGCAGCGACGCCGCGUGAACGAAGAAGGUAUUCGUAUCGUAAAGUUCUGUCCUAUGGGAAGAUAACGACAGUACCAUAGAAGAAAGCUCCGGCUAAAUACGUG